CCAAAGUGAUGCUCUGCAAAUGGGGUAGGAGGCGAUGCCUCCUACCCAACUCCUAUUCCGGCACGUCCACGUCGUGCAGAGCGGUAACAUGCGUUACUAGGGUUGCAAGAGUCCGAGAGCUCUUUUUGCUGCACUAGUUGCAGCAGAUGGUAACGCAUGGCUAAGCCGGAAAGG
rnacentral:ribozyme from 1 species